UUGCUAACUUUUGUUCAAGCCGAUGUCAUAGAGGAGCCAGGCUAACUAUGGUGGCUCCCAACUAUGUGGCUCCUGCCCUCAAGAAGUAUAGUCUAGUUGUGGAGGAAAGAUAUCAACACAACUAACUGAGAUACAAGGAAGCAGUGAAGAGAAUCCCAAGAGAGACACAUAGGAGUUUGAAGAAGAAUUUACACCUGAGAAAGCAGGAUUCUUUCAUAGGGCAGAAGUAGUUUGACCUGGACCUUAAAUUAGGUUUUGGGUUGGAUUUAAAGAAUCCACAUUGAAGAAGAGUAUUCCUAGUGGGAAGAAUAGCAUUAGAAAAUGCACAGAGAUACCAAAAUAUUAGAUGUUUUUUGGAACUCUGAAACGAUUUCAUGUUUCCAGAAUACCAAGAAUUGGGGGUGUGGGAGGGGAGGCAGGAGAAGGAAGAUUUCAUGAGAAAUGAGAUUGGGACCAGACUGUGGAGGAUUUUGAGGGCUGAGAAGUUUUACUUCAUUCUAGAAAUAAUGAGGAACGACUCAGCAUUUGUUUGCCUGCAGUUUGCUUCAGGUAGCUGAGAUGUUAGUAUUUAUCUCACUGACAGAUUGUUAGGUGGGGUUCUAACUUUUCCUAAGGAAGAUGGUUGAGGCAGGGCCUUCAUGAGAUAAAUUAUAUUAUUUCAAUCUGACUGAACAGUGACUGAAUAGUGAGGGAGCUGAAGAGUGAUUAAGCAGACUUGGGGCCAGAGUGAAUUCAAGUCUGAUUGCCUCUGGAGGGUGUCUUCCUUCAGCCUUCAUCACUGGAGUGAGGACUGAUAGGUGGCCCAGAAGCCAAGGUAACCGGAACCACAGCAGUCCUUCGAAAGAGGGCAUGCACUCAGAGGGCAGCUCUGGAGGACAGAGACAGAAAGAAUACGUAGGGAGGGAUGGGGGUUGGGGGGCGGGAAUGCAGAAAAAGAAAAGGUGCUUGCCCAGUCGUAACUUAGAUUUGAAAAGCUUAUAAACUUUUCAUAUUUUAUUUUCAGUAAAAUAGUUACAUCAAAGUAUAUGACUAGAUGGAUGUGGGUCCUAUUUCCAGGAAUAUAGCUGCACUAUUCACCAGAAAACUGAACCUGUAUUUUCCCGAAAUGUAGUUUAUGCUUUGUAGUGUAUUAAAUUGUAGAUUAGAAAUACCAACAAUAGCUCCUAACCUGACUUCCUGACUUCCAACUGUAGAAAUGAGCAGUAUCUGUAAAAUCCUCAUCCUGGAAUUCUGCCUACGUCAAAGGUUCCUUGUUUAAGGAUUACGAGGGGAGAAGUGGUUUGGAGUAUUCUGGCUACUGUCACACUUAUUUACAUAUUAAAAGUUGGUCUCUACCUUU
rnacentral:lncRNA from 1 species